rnacentral:lncRNA from 1 species
GGAAAAGUUAAUAGCAUGAAAAAUUGGAGGGAAAGUUAAUAAAUUUUCUUUUACUUUAAUAAACUUAAAAUGAAAGUUUUAUUUUUAAGCCAAUUAUUUCAACUUAAACUAUAAACUUUCACUUAGAAGCUGGAAAAAAUCUAUAAAAUCCAAUCACUACAACUCAAACUAUAAAGUUGCUCUAGGACUACAUAAAAUCCACUUACUUCUACUCAAAACUAUAAGCUUUCACUCAGAAAUUGCAUAAAAUAUACAAAGUUAAAUUGUUUCCGCUGAAACUACACAAUUUCGCCACAAACUGCAUAUAAUCUAUAAAAUCCCACUAUUUUCACUGAAAAAUCCAAUUACUACAAAAUUCAACAUUAUUUUUGUCUGAAACUACAAAAUUAAUUUCACUAGAAGCUGCAUAUAUAAUCUACAAAAUAAAACUACUAUCAAUCAAAUUCAACUGAUUUUCUUACUAAUAAAUUAGGUUUUAAAUGGAUCGAAAUGUGUACCGUCAUGUUUGAGGGUUUUAGAGUGAACGUGAGCGCUAUGGAUCAAUUCAUUCUUUACCAAUUGGGCCACUCAUCGCAGACCCUUUCAUUUCUCCCUUGGGGUUCACAAUCACACCAGCAUUAUCUUUAAAGUACAUGAAGACACCGUCCUUUCGGCGCCAUGGCUUGCGCUGACGAACAAUG